GGGUUGGGUAAUCAAAAUUUUGAGUGAGUAAAAGGUUGGGUAAAUGAAAAACAAAACAACUCAAGGGUUGGGUAAUAAAAAUUUAUUGUCAUUUCCAAAGCAUGACCCACUGAAAUACUGGAGACUGAAAAGCAAUGUCAACAGUCAUUUGUCAAUACAAUACGUGAAUCAAUCAGAGUCACUAUCUUGGUCAUUUUGACAAAACAAAUGGUACGUGUUUCCAAAGAAAGUGCAUGUGCAGACAACAUGAAACUUUAGACUGCAGAAAAUUUCACAAGCCGUUAUCAAACUCAUGUCAUAGAAGUGGUAAAAGACAUGUGUGACAACUGAAUGGUAUCCUUUUGUAAAGUUUUUGGCCAGGGGUGGGUAAUUAUUUUUCAAUUUAUAUUUGAGGUUGGGUAAUCAAUUAUUUGUCUUUUUAAUGGUUGGGUCAGCAAAAUUUUUGCCACGAAAAACAUUUCUCUUCGGUGCCACCCCCCACCAUAAAUAAUGACCGGUCCC